rnacentral:rRNA from 1 species
GGAGGAAGCAGGGGAUCGCAAGACCUUGCGCUUUUGGAGCGGCCGAUGCCUGAUUAGCUAGUUGGUGAGGUAAAAGCUCACCAAGGCUCCGAUCAGUAGCUGGUCUGAGAGGACGACCAGCCACACUGGGACUGAGACACGGCCCAGACUCCUACGGGAGGCAGCAGUGGGGAAUUUUGGACAAUGGGGGCAACCCUGAUCCAGCCAUGCCGCGUGAGUGAAGAAGGCCUUCGGGUUGUAAAGCUCUUUCAGCCGGAACGAAACGGUCACGGUUAAUACCCGUGACUACUGACGGUACCGGAAGAAGAAGCACCGGCUAACUACGUGCCAGCAGCCGCGGUAAUACGUAGGGUGCGAGCGUUAAUCGGAAUUACUGGGCGUAAAGCGUGCGCAGGCGGUUUUGUAAGUCAGAUGUGAAAUCCCCGGGCUUAACCUGGGAACUGCGUUUGAAACUACAAAGCUAG